rnacentral:rRNA from 1 species
AUAGGCCUACGGGGCGCAGCAGUGGGGAAUAUUGCACAAUGGGGGAAACCCUGAUGCAGCGACGCCGCGUGAGUGAAGAAGUAUCUCGGUACGUAAAGCUCUAUCAGCAGGGAAGAAAAAAAGUCCUUUGGACUUUGGACGGUACCUGACCAAGAAGCCCCGGCUAACUACGUGCCAGCAGCCGCGGUAAUACGUAGGGGGCAAGCGUUAUCCGGAUUUACUGGGUGUAAAGGGAGCGUAGACGGCAGCGCAAGUCUGGAGUGAAAUGCCGGGGCCCAACCCCGGAACUGCUUUGGAAACUGAGC